rnacentral:rRNA from 1 species
AUUGAACGCUGGCGGCAGGCCUAACACAUGCAAGUCGAGCGAGCGGCGGACGGGUGAGUAAUGUCUGGGAAACUGCCUGAUGGCGGGGGAUAACUACUGGAAACGGUAGCUAAUACCGCAUACCAUCCGAUGUUCCCAGAUGGGUUUAGCUAGUGGGUGGGGUAACGGCUCACCUAGGCGACGAUCCCGAGCUGGUCUGAGAGGAUGACACGCCACAUUGGAACUGAGACACGGUCCAGACUCCGACGGGAGGCAGCAGUGGGGAAUAUGGCAAAAGGGGGGCAAGCCUGAGACAGCAAUGCCGCGUGUGUGAAGAAGGCCUUCGGGUUGUAAAGCACUUUCAGCGGGGAGGCGUUACCCGCAGAAGAAGCACCGGCUAACUCCGUGCCAGCAGCCGCGGUAAUAC